UCGUUGAUGGCACGCAGGACGGGCCGCCCGUCGCUGGAGGCGAUGGUCCAUUCGAGGUUCUGCGCCGCGUCGCUGGGC
rnacentral:tRNA from 1 species